CUACGUAGGGGGCGAGCGUUGUCCGGAAUGAUUGGGCGUAAAGGGCGCGUAGGCGGCCCGGUAAGUCUGGAGUGAAAGUCCUGUUUUUAAGAUGGGAAUUGCUUUGGAUACUGUCGGGCUUGAGUGCAGGAGAGGUAAGUGGAAUUCCCAGUGUAGCGGGGAAAUGCGUAGAGAUUGGGAGGAACACCAGUGGCGAAGGCGACUUACUGGACUGUAACUGACGCUGAGGCGCGAAAGUGUGGGGAGCAAACAGGAUUAGAUACCCUGGUAGUCCACACUGUAAACGAUGAAUGCUAGGUGUAGGGGGUAUCGACCCCUUCUGUGCCGCAGUCAACACAAUAAGCAUUCCGCCUGGGGAGUACGGCCGCAAGGUUGAAACUCAAAGGAAUUGACGGGG
rnacentral:rRNA from 1 species